AGCUCCAAUAGCGUAUACUAAAGUUGUUGCAGUUAAAAAGCUCGUAGUUGGAUUUCUGGUCGAGAGGGACGUCCACUCUUUGCAGUGUCAAACCUCUCAAUCAUCCUGUCACGAACCACGCUAUUCUUAACUGAGUGGCGUCGGGGAUUGAUUCAUUUACUUUGAGAAAAAUAGAGUGUUCAAAGCAGGCAUCCGCCUUGAAUAAGUUAGCAUGGAAUAAUGAUAAAGGACUUCGGUUCUAUUUGUUGGUGUUCGGAAUUGAAGUAAUGAUUGAUAGGGACAGUUGGGGGCAUCAGUAUUUCAAAGCGAGAGGUGAAAUUCUAGGACCUUUGGAAGACUAACCGCUGCGAAAGCGUUUGCCAAGGAUGUUCCCU
rnacentral:rRNA from 1 species